UGGGGAAUAUUGCACAAUGGAGGGAACUCUGAUGCAGCGACGCCGCGUGAACGAAGAAGGCUUUCGAGUCGUAAAGUUCUUUUAUAUGGGAAGAUAAUGACGGUACCAUAAGAAAAAGCCCCGGCUAACUACGUGCCAGCAGCCGCGGUAAUACGUAGGGGGCUAGCGUUGUCCGGAAUCACUGGGCGUAAAGGGUUCGCAGGCGGAAAUGCAAGUCAGGUGUAAAAGGCAGUAGCUUAACUACUGUAAGCAUUUGAAACUGCAUAUCUUGAGGAGAGGAGAGGUAAGUGGAAUUUUUAGUGUAGCGGUGAAAUGCGUAGAUAUUAAAAAGAAUACCGGUGGCGAAGGCGACUUACUGGGCUCAUUCUGACGCUGAGGGAAGAAAAGGUGGGUAGCAAACAGG
rnacentral:rRNA from 1 species